rnacentral:rRNA from 1 species
GACGAACGCUGGCGGCGUGCCUAAUACAUGCAAGUCGAGCGGACGAAUCGAAAGCUUGCUUUUGAUUCGUUAGCGGCGGACGGGUGAGUAACACGUGGGCAACCUGCCCUGUAGACGGGGAUAACACCGAGAAAUCGGUGCUAAUACCGGAUAACACGAAAUGUCGCAUGACGUUUCGUCGAAAGACGGCGCAAGCUGUCGCUACAGGAUGGGCCCGCGGCGCAUUAGCUAGUUGGUGAGGUAACGGCUCACCAAGGCGACGAUGCGUAGCCGACCUGAGAGGGUGAUCGGCCACACUGGGACUGAGACACGGCCCAGACUCCUACGGGAGGCAGAAGUAGGGAAUCUUCCGCAAUGGACGAAAGUCUGACGGAGCAACGCCGCGUGAGAGAAGAAGGCCUUCGGGUCGUAAAGCUCUGUUGUUAGGGAAGAACAAGUAACGCAGUAACUGGCGUUACCGUGACGGUACCUAACGAGAAAGCCACGGCUAACUACGUG